rnacentral:tRNA from 1 species
GCCUGGGUGGCGGAACUGGUAGACGCAAGGGACUUAAAAUCCCUUAUCCUGAUGGGUGUGAGGGUUCGAGUCCCUCCCUGGGCACCA